UGGGGUAUGGUGUAAUGGUAACACGGCUGAUUCUGGUUCAGUUGUUCUAGGUUCGAGUCCUGGUACCCCAG
rnacentral:tRNA from 1 species